GCCCUACGGUGUCCAGGGCCCCACGGGUGCACAAAUGCUCACACCCUGGCUGAGCUCUGCGGGGAAGGGUGGCCUUAUCCUCAGCCUGCCAUGGGCCUGAGGGGUGGCCGUGGGAUGUCAGUCAGCUGCUCUGUGACUGAGAGCGGCUGUGUGCUUCAUGUCUGCCCCAAGGCUAUGCCGUGAGAUACCAUUUCCAUGAGCUCCAGGGAAGAAAAUCUACUCUCUAGUGAAACAGAGCAGACCCAGGCCCUCCCUAGAUCAGGAUGGAGACAGGCGAGGAGGGACUAAGAACAAGAACGGGCGAGAGUCAAGAUCGGAGAAUGUACAUGUACUACGCCUUGGUGGUGUGGUUCACACCCACAGGACAGCAAAACUCAUUGGAUUCCGCUCCCAUAAUUGCCUCUCCGAGGCCAAAUGCAGGCUCCUCCGCCUGGCUACUACUGACCGGAAGAAGCUUCUGCUUGCUGAGGACCCAGCGACUGGCUGUCUCUCUCCUCCCCAUCUCCAGUGAGCCCACACUCACACAGGAACAAGCAGUGGAUUAAGGUUCUAGGCUCACCAAGGAGUUGGUUUUAACUUCCCCAGAAGAUGCAGGUGAUGCUCCAAGCAAACUGGGACCCACCACCGCCAAUGAUGGAGACGGCGGCUAGGCAGCCUUUGGGCAGCAGAGGCCAUGGAGCCCUUCACGCGGUGACUGUCCUCACUGCCCAGCUGGCCUUGUUCCGAGUCUCCAGGCCAUGCCAGGCACCUGCCGGGCUGCCUCAUCAGUGUGCACUCACAUGAGUCUUUGCUGCCCCCUCCCGACCCGCGGCCCGCCCACGUCCUCCCAGCUGGGUGGUGCACAGUCACACGCUGUGGGAUGAGCCCAUGGUGUCACCACCUCUCCAAUGUUUCCUGCCCAGCUCGCUUUCUCCAGAGAAACCCCUUCCCGGCUCAUCCACCCGGGUUGGGGGCUGAGUGGCUCUCUGACAGCGAGGCCCAGGUGAGGGGCUCCGCUGGCUUCGUCUUAUCCUGAUAUUCCCAAAC
rnacentral:lncRNA from 1 species